rnacentral:rRNA from 1 species
CAGCCGCCACGGUAAUACGUAGGGUGCGAGCGUUAAUCGGAAUUACUGGGCGUAAAGCGUGCGCAGGUGGUUCGUUAAGACAGAUGUGAAAUCCCCGGGCUUAACCUGGGAACUGCAUUUGUGACUGGCAAGCUAGAGUAUGGCAGAGGGGGGUGGAAUUCCGCGUGUAGCAGUGAAAUGCGUAGAUAUGCGGAGGAACACCGAUGGCGAAGGCAGCCCCCUGGGCCAAUACUGACGCUCAUGCACGAAAGCGUGGGGAGCAAACAGGAUUAGAUACCCCUGUAGUCCCUGUCUCUUAUAC